UUAUAUUCAAAGUUGUUCUACAGAGAAACCACCAAAGUUUCUGGUCACUUCUACAGGACAAACCCAGUGGGAGGACCCAGGAGACAGCAGACAAUGCAGGACUUAGUUCCCUGUUGAUUCCUUCAACAAUGUCUGCCAUCUUCUCUGGGUACGCACUGCUGCAGGCACUGAGAAGACGAUGGCAGAUGAGACCAAGAUGUUCUGCCCUAACGGAGCUAAUACCCUAGCAGGACGGAGAGUGGAAUAAAGAAGAAAUCAGAGGAAUGACCAAAGCUGAUUUUAAGGACAUCUGUGGGCGCUUGGAGAUAUGUGUAUUGGCUGACACAGCUCUUGGAAAUAAGUGACGUAAUACAACAGUGGUUACAAACAUGUACUUGCAACAAGUGUGCAAGAGAACCAGAAUUUGGAGAAGAUCAUGCUCUGAAAAAGGGGAACCACUUACUUGUCCUGAAUUUUUCCUUGAGGGCAUCCAGGUCCUCUUUGAGAGCAACCUGCAUCCACA